rnacentral:rRNA from 1 species
GACGAACGCUGGCGGCGUGCCUAAUACAUGCAAGUAGAACGCUGAAGGAGGAGCUUGCUUCUCCGGAGGAGUUGCGAACGGGUGAGUAACGCGUAGGUAACCUGCUUGGUAGCUGGGGAUAACUAUUGGAAACGAUAGCUAAUAUCGUAUAACAUUAGAUGUUGCAUGACAUUUGCUUAAAAGUUGCAAUUUCAUCACUACCAUAUGGACCUGCGGUGUUUUAGCUAGUUGGUGGGGUAACGGCUCACCAAGGCGAAGAUACAUUGCCUAGCUGAGAGGGGGAUCGACCAACCUGGGAAUGAAGCACGGCCCAGACUCCUACGGGAGGGAGCAGUAGGGAAACUUCGGAAAAGGACGGAAGGCUGAACGAGCAAAGCCGGGUGAGGGAAGAAGGGUUUCGGAUCGUAAAGCUCUGUUGUAAGAGAAGAACGAGUGUGAGAGUGGAAAGUUCACACUGUGACGGUAUCUUACCAGAAAGGGACGGCUAACUACGUG